UACGGGGGGGGGCAAGCGUUGUUCGGAAUUACUGGGCGUAAAGGGCUCGUAGGCGGCCAACUAAGUCAGACGUGAAAUCCCUCGGCUUAACCGGGGAACUGCGUCUGAUACUGGAUGGCUUGAGUUUGGGAGAGGGAUGCGGAAUUCCAGGUGUAGCGGUGAAGUGCGUAGAUAUCUGGAGGAACACCGGUGGCGAAGGCGGCAUCCUGGACCAACACUGACGCUGAGGAGCGAAAGCCAGGGGAGCAAACGGG
rnacentral:rRNA from 1 species